ensembl:lncRNA
UCUAUUUAGCAAUACCUCACGUGACAAGAGUGACUUCAGGGACACAGUGAAGACAAGAUCAAGGAAAAGAAAGGCUGCUAUUGUAAAAAUCCCCCUGCUAAAAGAUUCAACAUCUAUCAACUUCUGAUUCAACCUAUGCACAAGCAAAGUAACUACUUCAAGGCUCUCCUUCUAUUAUUGAACCUCAUCCUGCGAGGCUACAUGUACAUUUUAAUGACAAGACUUGAUUUUUACUUUAUUUCCCAUUCUUGGUUUGAAUAAUAUAUGAAAAAAAAAAUAAUCCAGUGUGAGGAAAGAGUUAAAUAUUCUGUAACAGAAUGGUUAACUGUUCUACCUAGAAGCAAGGGACUGAUUGCUUUUUCUCUGCCCAGAGCUGUAGCAUCUGAGCACUUUCCAGAAUGUACUUGGAGCAACAGGCCUGCACCUGUCCUGUGUCUGGACAUUUCUGUGCUGUGAAUGGAAAUGAGACAAGAUGAUUUGCAGAGUUAGGACUGGGGCAGUAAUACGAUUGGAUGUCGUUGUACAAUGUACUGUUGGAAAUUGCAUGUAAGCUACCACAAAUUUUAAUAGAAGUGCUUUCUCCCUUUCCUUUCACUUCAGGAGGAGGGAUCUUAUCAGCAUUACUAAAUUUCAGUAAAAAACAUUGUAAAUCUACUCUUGAGUCUUGUUUCCUCCUUGGCCAUGGAAGCCCCAAGUCUCUUCUGUGAAACAGGGUUAAAAAUAUAGUGCCAUUGAUAAUUAUGUCAGAGUCUCAAGAAGUGGAAAUGAGUGGCCAUUAUGGAAGCACCUUCAUCUAGGUAAGAUGGUGAAGCUCCCAAUAGCACCAGUCCAUUAUCUCAGUAGGAACUGUUGUUUUAUUUCACUAUAGAAUUCUUCCCUGAAGGGAUCACAAAAUGGUUUCCUCAUAAAAAGAACUAAAAAAUACCAAGCUCUACACUGUUCUGAUUUUAAUUUGCUUUAAUAGUUGCUGUGUGUUACAGUAUUUGCAGGGAGACUUGUUCAAGUUGUUGGAUUUUCUUGAAAAAUUCUGAUAUGCAAACCAUAUUGAUUCCUGGAGAUAAUGUCAGUUAAGUAUUUUAUUGUAAAAUGUAACUGAAAAACAUUCUGAAACUACUGAUAGAGAUAGAC